CCUACGGGUGGCUGCAGUGGGGAAUAUUGGACAAUGGGCGAAAGCCUGAUCCAGCCAUGCCGCGUGUGUGAAGAAGGCCUUCGGGUUGUAAAGCACUUUCAGUGGGGAAGAAAGCCUUGGGGCUAAUACCCUCGAGGAAGGACAUCACCCACAGAAGAAGCACCGGCUAACUCCGUGCCAGCAGCCGCGGUAAUACGGAGGGUGCGAGCGUUAAUCGGAAUUACUGGGCGUAAAGCGCGCGUAGGCGGUCUGAUAAGCCGGUUGUGAAAGCCCCGGGCUCAACCUGGGAACGGCAUCCGGAACUGUCAGGCUAGAGUGCAGGAGAGGAAGGUAGAAGUCCCGGUGUAGCGGUGAAAUGCGUAGAGAUCGGGAGGAAUACCAGAGGCGAAGGCGGCCUUCUGGACUGACACUGACGCUGAGGUGCGAAAGCGUGGGUAGCAAACAGGAUUAGAUACCCCAGUAGUC
rnacentral:rRNA from 1 species